UACGUAGGGGGCAAGCGUUGUCCGGAAUCAUUGGGCGUAAAGCGCGUGUAGGCGGCCCGGUAAGUCCGCUGUGAAAGUCGGGGGCUCAACCCUCGAAUGCCGGUGGAUACUGUCGGGCUAGAGUGCGGAAGAGGCGAGUGGAAUUCCUGGUGUAGCGGUGAAAUGCGCAGAUAUCAGGAGGAACACCAAUUGCGAAGGCGGCAUCCUGGACCGACAUUGACGCUGGAUGAGCGAAAGCUAGGGGAGCAAACGGG
rnacentral:rRNA from 1 species